rnacentral:rRNA from 1 species
UACGUAGGGUGCAAGCGUUAAUCGGAAUUACUGGGCGUAAAGCGCACGUAGGCGGCUUUCUAAGUCGGGGGUGAAAUCCUGGAGCUCAACUCCAGAACUGCCUUCGAUACUGGAGAGCUUGAGUCCGGGAGAGGUGAGUGGAACUGCGAGUGUAGAGGUGAAAUUCGGUAGAAUUAUUCGCAAGAACACCAGGUGGCGAAAGGCGGCCUCAGCUGGC